AAGGAUCAUUAACAAAUCCGUUGUUUGUAUCAUACGCCAAUUUGUUGGAGUGUGAUACAAACACAUGAACCCGACAAGCCCGGCAGUCGCUGGGUGAGUCGCUUGCGUGUAUGGCUUUUCGGCUGUAUGCGCAAAACAUAAACGCUUGUUUUGUUUGUCAGAGUUAUUUGUGACUAAAUAUAAACAACUUUUAACAAUGGAUCUCUUGGCUCUC
rnacentral:misc_RNA from 1 species